AUAUUUGAAGAGCCAAUUAGAAUUACAAAGAGGAUCAAUGCUAUAGAUUUCAAAAAUUAUAGAGUACAACCUAUAACACAAAGUAUUAUGUUGUUCUUUAAUACUAUGGUACAACAAUCAAUGCCAAUAGAAAUUGAUGUUCUGCAAGGAUCAUUGAGACUACAAAGAUAACAAAUAUUCAUACAAAAGGUAUUUCUAUUGUCGAAAGUCAAUCCAUCAAAUCAGAGGUUGUUCAAAAUGUCAAAAUUUAAG
rnacentral:lncRNA from 1 species